ACUCCACGUGAAGAGAAAGGAACCAGAAUUCUAACAGCAAAAUUCACUAGAUCAUGUAAUAUUAACAUUUCCAACAAUGGAAGCUAACAUCAGAGUCAAUCUGGAAAGCAGAAUCCUUUACUUACAGGUAAAGAGAUCUUCCAGUCAAGUUUAUGGGCAAUGGCCACAAAGAGAAGGGCUAAGAACUCAGCACAGCAACAAGAGACUGGAAAGCAGAAUGUAAGAGUAUCACAUCACAUCACCAUGGAGACAGAACCCUUCCUGCCUCAGUUAUGUGAUGCAUCACCAACCAAGCCUGGUGCAUUUUGCUGGAUUUAAGAAGAAGGGUUGAAGUAUAGAAUCAUUACUAAAUAAUGAGGUAUUUAACAAUGAGAGUUCAUAAAGAAGAAGAAAAGAAACCAUGAACACAGGAAACUGGACAUAAUUCUUCAAGUUUAUGAUGUUUGGAUUUUUGUUCUUUUUGGUAACUGCUUAAAAAGUCUAGCCAUAACCAUUUUUCAGUCAUUAAACAGAAACUUCAAUAUAAUUCUAAAGUUAAUUAACUACUAUAAUUAAAAACAUAAAAAGCCAUUAAUCAGACAUUCAAGGUUAAGCUUACACAACUAAUUUACGUAAAAAAUAAAGCC